rnacentral:lncRNA from 1 species
GGCAGCGACAGCGCCUCCGGCACGGGCCCAGCCCCCGCGGGCAGCGGCCACGGCCGUGCCGGAGCAGCGGCAGCAGCCGCGCCGGGGAGGAGGAGUGCCGGCGGCUUGGCCAGAGCGGCGGCAGCCGGGGCCGGGGCAGGGUCUCCCCGCUCCGCCCGCCGCCGGUGCCCGCAGCCGCCGUGCCCAGCAGUGUCCGGCGGCAGGCGGAGGUGCUCCCCGGCCGGCGAGGCGGGGGUGGUGCCGCGUUGCCGCCGCCGCGGAGCGGAGCGGAGCGGCCGCAUCUUCAUCUUCAUCCUCCUCCUCCCCCUCCCCGCGGCGCGACCCCGCCGGCUGCCCCCGCCCAGAGGGGCGGGAAGGCAGCGGGCGCUGCCCGCGGUCGAGGCGCGGCCCGAAGGGGCUCCGCAUGGCGUUCCCUCACCCGCCCGCUGCCGCCGAUAAAUCCCAGUGCCGAGGGCAGCGCGGCACUUGGCGGCUGCUGCGCUGCGGGGAGGCGGCGGAGCUCGGGCCCCUCCCCGCGGCGGCGACCCCCAACAGGAGCCGGAGCUCAGGUACAAGGCUGAGUGCUGUAGUGAGAGCAUGUGUGAAGACAGAAGCAAGGCUGCAACAGCCCCCUGAAGCAUGCUCAAGGUCAGCCCCACUCAAAGAAGACCAGGAGGUCACAUUUGACUUAGAAGAAAUCAUGAAGAUGGGUUUCAUGAGUGACAUAACUGGAGCCAUUAGCAAACUCAUCCAAGAGUAAUCACCCAUUAAAGGUGAGUGCCUGCACCUUCUCUGUGCAGAGGAGCCUGAGG